AACGAACGCUGGCGGCAGGCCUAACACAUGCAAGUCGAGCGAGGACUUCGGUCCUAGCGGCGGACGGGUGAGUAACGCGUGGGAACGUGCCCUUUGCUUCGGAAUAGCCCUGGGAAACUGGGAGUAAUACCGGAUGAGCCCUUUGGGGGAAAGAUUUAUCGGCGAAGGAUCGGCCCGCGUUGGAUUAGGUAGUUGGUGGGGUAAUGGCCUAACAAGCCGACGAUCCAUAGCUGGUUUGAGAGGAUGAUUAGCCACACUGGGACGGAGACCCGGCCCAGACCCCUACCGGAGGCAGCAGUGGGGAAUCUUAGACAAUGGGGGAAACCCUGAUCUAGCCAUGCCGCGUGAGCGAUGAAGGCCUUAGGGUUGUAAAGCUCUUUCAGCUGGGAAGAUAAUGACGGUACCAGCAGAAGAAGCCCCGGCUAACUCCGUG
rnacentral:rRNA from 1 species